GUGUCAGCAGCCGCGGUAAUACAGAGGUCUCAAGCGUUGUUCGGAUUCAUUGGGCGUAAAGGGUGCGUAGGUGGCGUCGUAAGUCGGGUGUGAAAUUUCGGAGCUUAACUCCGAAACUGCAUUCGAUACUGCGGUGCUUGAGGACUGGAGAGGAGACUGGAAUUUACGGUGUAGCAGUGAAAUGCGUAGAGAUCGUAAGGAAGACCAGUGGCGAAGGCGGGUCUCUGGACAGUUCCUGACACUGAGGCACGAAGGCCAGGGGAGCAAACGGGAUUAGAUACCCCGGUAGUCC
rnacentral:rRNA from 1 species